AAUUUUAUAUUAAAAUUAUUUUAAAAAAAAGUCCCCCCGCCGCAUCCCUGCAGCUCCCUAGGCUGCCAUGGGCAUUCGAGCCCUCUCAGCCCCACCAUUAACGCCCCCCACCCCCACCCCGCAGCCCCAAGGCUGCCAUGGUCAUUAGAGCCCCCAGCAGCACUACCAUUAACGCCCCCCUCUCCCGCGCGUUUCCCACCAGAAGCCGCCCCCCACCCCUGCAGCCUCCAACGCUGCCAUGGCCAUCAACAAUAGAGCGCCCCACCAGCACCACUGCAGUGCCCCCUCCCCCUUAUUUUUAAAUUGAGGUCUAUUUAUUCAUGGCUAACAUAUGAAGACCAAAUAGCUAAGGCUAAUUACGACUUUAUUUUUACUGAAUUUGGAGUACGUACUUCAGUUGGCAGAUCAAAUGUCCUCGUCUCUCUAUAUGAAAAAAGUUUAGAAUGAUAAAAAGAAAUUUAUUAAAGAAAAUGCAGGCGCAAUUUUUAUCGGCCGA